GUGUUUAUUUACCUUGUUGCUUCGGCGGGCCCGCCUUAACUGGCCGCCGGGGGGCUUACGCCCCCGGGCCCGCGCCCGCCGAAGACACCCUCGAACUCUGUCUGAAGAUUGUAGUCUGAGUGAAAAUAUAAAUUAUUUAAAACUUUCAACAACGGAUCUCUUGGUUCCGGCAUCGAUGAAGAACGCAGCGAAAUGCGAUACGUAAUGUGAAUUGCAAAUUCAGUGAAUCAUCGAGUCUUUGAACGCACAUUGCGCCCCCUGGUAUUCCGGGGGGCAUGCCUGUCCGAGCGUCAUUGCUGCCCUCAAGCACGGCUUGUGUGUUGGGCCCCGUCCUCCGAUUCCGGGGGACGGGCCCGAAAGGCAGCGGCGGCACCGCGUCCGGUCCUCGAGCGUAUGGGGCUUUGUCACCCGCUCUGUAGGCCCGGCCGGCGCUUGCCGAUCAACCCAAAUUUUUAUCCAGGUUGACCUCGGAUCAGGUAGGGAUACCCGCUGAACUUAAGCAUAU
rnacentral:rRNA from 1 species